rnacentral:lncRNA from 1 species
CACACACACAAAAUAAAGCAGUAGACAAAACUGAAAUAUUCCUUUAUUUCAGAAAAACAGCAAUGUUUCAAAUAGUCACAGUUUGUAGCCCAUGCUAGGCCAGAUGCACAGCGUGAAGCCAUCCACUCACAUGACAAGCCACUAUAUAGCCCAUUCAAACCUGCCUGCAAACAUUAGGACAGACACACUGAAUUAUCCCACUCUUUAAUUAGGAAUUAUCCUACAUUCACUUCUUAUCAACGGUCUCGGUACCGUUUCAAAUAUGCCUAACACAGCAAAAAUAAAAUAUAUGUGAGGAAACUAGUCCUACAACAAAUAUGUAGAGUAUGUCUACAGUGAAAGCCUUGUAUGGCCUGCAGAUUAUUUUAACUGGUUCUGACAAAGUUAUGAACAUGUAUUUAUGAAUCUAAACUAACUAGUAAGUCAUCUAAUUUGAAAAGCAGAAAAAAACUUUACAAACACUUAGUGAGCCAUAUCAAGCGCUGAAUUAACGUAUGCCACCACACAAGCCUGACUGCAGAGUAAAAAAACUUCUACUUUCAUAUGAUAACAAGCACAACACUCAACUGUUUAUACCAGCCUAAGAAAACAUGCUAUACACUCAAAUCAUGGCAUUCCUAUUUCAGAUACAGCUUUUCACCACAAUAAGCUAUAGAGGGUCACUUAAAUAAAUGGACUAUCUAACAGCUGUGUACUCUAUAGCCAUGGUGCUGAGCAGAGAAAGGCUCUACAACAGAGGGGGAGGGAGAAAGUAAAAAGAGAGAUGAAAAUGUCUGCCUUAUGAAAUCUUGAAGAGCGACAUCAUGGACUACGCAAUGGAGUCUAGCUUGAAGAGACAUCACCGACUGUAAAAACCUGACUCAUUCGUUAUCAUGCUCAUUUCCCAAUAUGAAUCACAUGUCUGGCAUGCAACUGAGAAGGUUUGUUCAACUGUAACACUGCAUUAAUAAAAGGUCUGUGGAUCACAAGCUGGAGGAAUACUGAGGUGGUAAGAUAACCUAAUUAAUACUGGUCUCCCAAAAACAAGUCAGUGACUCAGAAAUAGAGUGAUUUCCAAAAGCAGUCUGAUCAAAUUCCCUUUGAGAGUUAAAUACUUGUGAUGUUCACAUUGGAAUCAGCCCAAAGAGUUAAAACAUGAGGAUAGUUAAAGAAUGCUGGUCGCAUUCCUACCCGGACAUGAGGCAAUUGCUGGCUGAGCAUCAGAUGUGUAGUACUGCCUUGGAUGGUGAAAAUCAUAAAACACCAUUGGAGUGAGUCUAGUGUGAGGUUUCUUGGGUGAAGUAAUCUAUGACAUACGAUGCUGUGAGAGUAUCCUUAGCCUUCACAGCUGUAACCAUAUUGAAAACUAAGAAAAUAGAACUCCCAUUGAGAGAAAUCCUUUUAAAGGUUGUGCAGAUGAACCAGUAGUAAACUCCCAGGUGUUUUGUGACUGUGCGCAUCUAAAAAGUUGAGAAGAGUAAUGUAUUGUACUAUAUGACUGACUAUCUGCAGUGUCACAUGUUCGGUUGUAAAGCCUAUAUAGAUGGACCAUUUCUAAACGGCUCCGAUGUGAUACAAUCGGAAGAUGUACCUCUUCUUGGAACAGGUGGAGUACAUUAGAAUAAUAUAUCAGAUGUUUGUUUCCAUAAAGCAGGCAUUAUCAGAACAUAUACACAGACAAUUCCCUGAUGCAAGACGGGGAGACAAGUUUUAUACUACAGAUAAAAAUCAAGGGUUAGGGGCCAAUGUGUGUGGAAGGGUUAAAGUGUGGGGGAAGGCACAUACAUCCCUUGUCUUCCUCAGGGUAGAUAUAUCAUCCAGGGGCUCCAAGUGCUUACUGUGAUGAAUAGAAUGAGAAGUAAAGUGACAUAAAAACACAUGGCAUCAAGACUGGUGCAUGACAGACAAGAGACAGAAAAAGUAAUAUAAACAAGUAUGCAUCUAAUAACCAAGGAAAAACACUAUCGUUUUAGGUUACACAAAAAGGGAAAUGUUCCUUGUGUAUUGUAAUCUAACGUAAACCUGUGUAGUGUUUUACCCUGGUGAAUAGAUGCCUACUUAGAGAAGUGACUACAGAAGUUCAAUACCUGUCAGUUGGUUCAACUGCAUCUUCAUCCUAAGGACCCGUCGCUUGCCCUGAAGACCAACGUGGUGAGAUCACAUGAGAUCACAAUACUCUGACUAACACUGAAAUGGCAGUAGCCUGUUAAUCUCGGUUUCAAAAUGUGAGAUACAGAAUCUUACAUUUGAUCACCCGGUUGUUGCAGGUCAAAAAACUGCAAAGCAGGAAAUGCAAACGUGUAGUCUAUUAAAAGGUUUAAAAAAGGCUUCUGAAGUUUGUAAUUUCUUCUUAAACAUUUCAGACUUAAUUUGCCCCAACUAAAAAUGUAUCAACCCCUACCAAAAAUGUCCAUGAAUUAUAAUCCACAUAAUUCACAUUUCCGGUCGCUGCAAGAUUAUUUUCCUGCUGUGAGAAACGGGUCAAGUUAAGAUCCUACCUCUGUACAACUACGAGUACUAGUAUGACUGGUCGCAUCAUCGGUUACAUUUAGCUCAAAUAGAUCAUUUUCAACAAAAUCCUGAAUGCCUGUGCAUUUAUAAACAGUGUCAGUCCUAUUUUUGUUUUUAAUAAUCUACUCAUCCAACUGAUCAGACAUUCUAUUUAUUUACCUUUAUUUAACUUGGCAAGUCAGUUAAGAACAAAUUCUUAUUUUCAAUGACGGCCUAGGAACAGCGGGUUAACUGCCUUGUUCAGGGGCAGAAUGACAGAUUUUUACCUUGUCAGCUCAGGGAUUCGAUCUUGCAACCAUUCGGUUCCUAGUCCAACGCUCUAACCACUAGGCUACCUGCCGCUAGGCUAGGCUACUUGAUCAGUGGGCAUCCUGUUUAUUUGUCAAAUUACCUGUUACCUCAGCAGCAGGGGCCUCAUCUUCGUCUGGGAUAAUCCUGCCGGUCAUGGGGCCAACCCCCAGGACUUUGGGCCUCUUGUCUGACUUGCUCGCUCCCUCCAGCACCACUACAAUAUACUCCUUAGCAGCUGGCUCCUCUUCCACCGCAGCUGGCGCCUCUUCCACCGCAGCUGGCGCCUCUUCCACCGCAGCGUCUGCCUCCACAGGUGCAGCGUCUGCCUCCACAGGUGCAGCGUCUGCCUCCACAGGUGCAGCGUCUGCCUCCACAGGUGCAGCGUCUGCCUCCACAAUCUCUGCUGCGGCAGCCUCAAUUGGAGCUUCUUCGUCUGCAGUUGGAGCCUCUUCUAUGGGUGCGGCCUCGACUGAAGCUGCUUCUUCUGCAGCUGGGGCCUCCACUGGGACAGCCUCCUUGACUUCUAAAACUACUUCUGCGACUGUUGCCACCGCCAAAGCAGAGGCUGCUGCCAUAGCGACUGGUGCCACUGAAAAACAGAACCAAGCCAUCACUCACAUCACAAAAAGACUCAAUAUCUCCAACUCAAUCAACAUACAGUGCAUUCGGAAAGAAUUCAGACCGCUCAACCUUUUCCUCACUGUCACGUUACAGCCGAAUUCCAAAAUGGAUUAAAUAAAUAAAAAUCCUCAAUCAACACACACAAACACAAUGACAAAGCAAAGACAGGUUUUUUGAAAUUAGCAAAUGUAUUAAAAAUACAAAACAAAUACACAAGUAUUCAGACCCUUUGCUAUGAGACUCGAAAUUAAGCUCAGGUGCAUCCUGUUUUCAUUGAUCAUCCUUGAGGUGUUUCUACAAUUUGGGGUCCACCUGUGGUAAAUUAAAUUGAUUGGACAUGAUUUGGAAAGGUACACACCUGUCUAUAUAAAAGGUCCCACAGUUGACAGUGCAUGUCAGAGUAAAAAC